rnacentral:rRNA from 1 species
UACGAAGGGGGCUAGCGUUGUUCGGAAUUACUGGGCGUAAAGCGCGCGCAGGCGGUUUUUCAAGUCAGUGGUGAAAGCCCGGAGCUCAACUCCAGAAAUGCCAUUGAAACUGUUAAACUUGAGGAUGAGAGAGGUGAGUGGAAUUCCCAGUGUAGAGGUGAAAUUCGUAGAUAUUGGGAAGAACACCGGUGGCGAAGGCGGCUCACUGGCUCAUUACUGACGCUCAGGCGCGACAGCGUGGGGAUCAAACAGG